rnacentral:rRNA from 1 species
CAAUAGCGUAUAUUUAAGUUGUUGCAGUUAAAAAGCUCGUAGUCGGAUUUUGGCUGAGAACGAUCGGUCCGCCGUUAGGUGUGCACUGAUUGGUCUCAGCUUCCUGGUGAGGAGGUGUGCUUCACGGCCACUUAGUCACCGUGGUUACUUUGAAAAAAUUAGAGUGUUCAAAGCGGGCUUACGCUUGAAUAUAUUAGCAUGGAAUAACACCAUAGGACUCCUGUCCUAUUUCGUUGGUCUCGGGACGGGGGUAAUGAUUAAGAGGAACAGUUGGGGGCAUUCGUAUUUCAUUGUCAGAGGUGAAAUUCUUGGAUUUAUGAAAGACGAACUUCUGCGAAAGCAUUUGCCAAGGAUGUUUUCAUUGA